UACGUAGGGGGCGAGCGUUGUCCGGAGUUACUGGGCGUAAAGGGCAUGCAGGCGGUCCGACACGUUUUGGGUGACAGCGGGUGGCUUAACUACCCGAGGAUACGAAAGACGGUUGGACUUGAGGACUCGAGAGGGACACGGAAUUCCGGGUGGAGUGGUGAAAUGCGUAGAGAUCCGGAGGAACACCGAAGGCGAAGGCAGUGUCCUGGCGAGUGACUGACGCUGAGGUGCGAAAGCCAGGGGAGCGAACGGG
rnacentral:rRNA from 1 species